GACGAACGCUGGCGGCGUGCCUAAUACAUGCCAGUAGAACGCUGAAGGAGGAGCUUGCUUCUCUGGAUGAGUUGCGAACGGGUGAGUAACGCGUAGGUAACCUGCCUGGUAGCGGGGGAUAACUAUUGGAAACGAUAGCUAAUACCGCAUAAUAUUGACUAUUGCAUGAUAGUCAGUUGAAAGGUGCAACUGCACCACUACCAGAUGGACCUGCGUUGUAUUAGCUAGUUGGUGGGGUAACGGCUCACCAAGGCGACGAUACAUAGCCGACCUGAGAGGGUGAUCGGCCACACUGGGACUGAGACACGGCCCAGACUCCUACGGGAGGCAGCAGUAGGGAAUCUUCGGCAAUGGACGGAAGUCUGACCGAGCAACGCCGCGUGAGGGAAGAAGGUUUUCGGAUCGUAAAGCUCUGUUGUAAGAGAAGAACGAGUGUGAGAGUGGAAAGCUCACACUGUGACGGUAUCUUACCAGAAAGGGACGGCUAACUACGUG
rnacentral:rRNA from 1 species